CCUACGGGUGGCAGCAGUGGGGAAUAUUGGGCAAUGGGCGAAAGCCUGACCCAGCAAUGCCGCGUGAAUGAAGAAGGUCUUAGGAUUGUAAAAUUCUGUCCUAUGGGAAGAAAAAAAUGACGGUACCAUAGGAGGAAGCCCCGGCUAACUACGUGCCAGCAGCCGCGGUAAUACGUAGGGGGCGAGCGUUGUCCGGAAUUACUGGGCGUAAAGAGAGCGUAGGCGGAAUGCCAAGUCAGCGGUAAAAUCGCGGGGCUCAACCUCGCUCCGCCGUUGAAACUGGCGUUCUUGAGUGGGCGAGAAGUAUGCGGAAUGCGUGGUGUAGCGGUGAAAUGCAUAGAUAUCACGCAGAACUCCGAUUGCGAAGGCAGCAUACCGGCGCCCAACUGACGCUGAAGCACGAAAGCGUGGGUAUCGAACAGGAUUAGAUACCCCUGUAGUC
rnacentral:rRNA from 1 species